rnacentral:rRNA from 1 species
UGAGGAACAUGACCUUCGGCGGGGGAUAGCCGGCCCAACGGCCGGGUAAUACCGCGUACGACCACAUGGGGACAUCCCUGAGUGGUGAAAGCAGCAAUGCGCCGAUGGAGUGCCUCGCGGCCUAUCAGCUAGUUGGUGAGGUAAUGGCUCACCAAGGCGACGACGGGUAGCCGGCCUGAGAGGGCGAUCGGCCACACUGGGACUGAGACACGGCCCAGCUCCUAGGAGG